rnacentral:rRNA from 1 species
GGACUACCGGGGUAUCUAAUCCCGUUCGCUCCCCUGGCUUUCGUGUCUCAGCGUCAGCAAAUUCCCAGCAGACUGUCUUCACCUUUGGCGUUCCAAGUGAUAUCUACGCAUUUCACCGCUCCACCACUUGUUCCAUCUGCCCCUGAAUUGCUCAAGAUCGCCAGUAUACCCAGCAGUUCCCCGGUUGAGCCGGGGGAUUUCACAAGAUACUUAACGACCCGCCUACACACGCUUUAAGCCCAGUGAUUCCGCCUAACGCUCGGCACCUCUGUCUUACCGCGGCUGCUGGCAC